CCUUCUUCCCCCUUUUUCUUUCUCCCCUACUUCCUUUCUUCUCCUUCCCUUCCUCCUUUUUUCUCUUCCUUCCCCCCCCCUCUCCCUCUUUCUUUCCUUUUUUUCCUUUUUCCCCCCUUUCCCUUUUCUUUUCUUUUUUUUCUCCCACCAUCCUCUCUUUUCCAUUCAUUAACAAAUUCCACAUAUCAAACUACUUUUUUCCAAAUUUUUUUUUUCUUUAAUCCUUAUAACUUGUUAAACUUGUGUAUUAAAAUAUUACCUGCCUACCCUUGAAAAGGGGUUAGACUCAUGCGUUCCGUAGGUGAACCUGCGGAAGGAUCAUUACUGAGAACUUGCCCUUUUGGGUAGAUCUCCCACCCUAUGUUUAUUUACUUUGUUGCUUUGGCAGGCCUGCAUUUGUGCUGCCGGCCUUUGGCUAGUUAGUGCCUGCCAGAGAACCAACACUCUGAAUCAUUUAUUGUCUGAGUACUAUUUAAUAGUUAAAACUUUCAACAACGGAUCUCUUGGUUCUG
rnacentral:misc_RNA from 1 species